rnacentral:rRNA from 1 species
AUUGAACGCUGGCGGCAUGUCUUACACAUGCAAGUCGAACGGCAGCACGGGUGCUUGCACCUGGUGGCGAGUGGCGAACGGGUGAGUAAUACAUCGGAACAUGUCCUGUAGUGGGGGAUAGCCCGGCGAAAGCCGGAUUAAUACCGCAUACGAUCUACGGAUGAAAGCGGGGGACCUUCGGGCCUCGCGCUAUAGGGUUGGCCGAUGGCUGAUUAGCUAGUUGGUGGGGUAAAGGCCUACCAAGGCGACGAUCAGUAGAUGGUCUGAGAGGACGACCAGCCACACUGGGACUGAGACACGGCCCAGACUCCUACGGGAGGCAGCAGUGGGGAAUUUUGGACAAUGGGCGAAAGCCUGAUCCAGCAAUGCCGCGUGUGUGAAGAAGGCCUUCGGGUUGUAAAGCACUUUUGUCCGGAAAGAAAUCCUUGGCUCUAAUACAGUCGGGGGAUGACGGUACCGGAAGAAUAAGCACCGGCUAACUACGUG